rnacentral:rRNA from 1 species
CAGUAGCCGCGGGAAUACGUAGGGUGCAAGCGUUAAUCGGAAUUACUGGGCGUAGAGCGCACGCAGGCGGUCUGUCAAGUCAGAUGUGAAAUCCCCGGGCUUAACCUGGGAACUGCAUUUGAAACUGGCAGGCUAGAGUCUUGUAGAGGGGGGUAGAAUUCCAGGUGUAGCGGUGAAAUGCGUAGAGAUCUGGAGGAAUACCGGUGGCGAAGGCGGCCCCCUGGACAAAGACUGACGCUCAGGUGCGAAAGCGUGGGGAGCAAACAGGAUUAGAUACCCCUGUAGUCCCUGUCUCUUAUCA